UUUUGGUGCCUUCAAAUUAUUCCAAAAUGCUUAGCUAUUCUUAAAAAAUGGUCAUAGUCAACAAAAUGAAAGGAAAUAUGCAGAGAAAUAUGAUUUUUACAGAGCACUUUGCUUGUUAUGAUGUAGAACGGAUAUAAGUAAGGUAGAGUUGAGUAAGCGGGUAUUUCUCCUAAUGCUAAGUUGGUCACACUCAACCGAUGCUGUUUGGGAUAUUUCAGCACCAAAUCAUAAUCACUAUUUAUUGUAAAUAGUUUAAGCAUGCCAACGACCCUUCACUGUAAAAUAGCGACGAAGAGGGAAGAAAGCUCACGCAAGUGAGGUACAACAAACUUUGAAAUGUUCUAAUUACGCCAAGCAUAGAUGAGUGCGGAGAUGAAAUUCGAAAUGGAGAUGAAAUUGUAGGUGAAGAUGGAGUUGAAGCAAAAACGGAACCGGAAGUGCAGGCCGAGACGGAAGACGAUGCUUGCGCUGGCAAAGUUAGGCGAAGGCGACAGGCAAACGGAAAUGCAUCAGUGUCAGAUUUUGCGCGACGCGCCCAACGCAAUUUCGUUAAGAACUGCGCAAAGUUGUUAAAUUUUACGAUUUAAUUGCGAAACUAUUAAAAAUUACGUCUCUUUUACUGGG